GACGAACGCUGGCGGCGCGCCUAACACAUGCAAGUCGAACGAGCGAGAGAGAGCUUGCUUUCUCGAGCGAGUGGCGAACGGGUGAGUAACGCGUGAGGAACCUGCCUCAAAGAGGGGGACAACAGUUGGAAGCGACUGCUAAUACCGCAUAACGCCCACAGGUCGGCAUCGACCAGAGGGAAAGGAGCAAUCCGCUUUGAGAUGGCCUCGCGUCCGAUUAGCUGGUUGGUGGGGUAACGGCCUACCAAGGCGACGAUCAGUAGCCGGCCUGAGAGGGUGAACGGCCACAUUGGGACUGAGACACGGCCCAA
rnacentral:rRNA from 1 species